AGAGUUUGAUCCUGGCUCAGGACGAACGCUGGCGGCGUGCCUAACACAUGCAAGUCGAGCGGAGACAGUGAGUAGCUUGCUAUGAGCUGUUUUAGCGGCGGACGGGUGAGUAACGCGUGAGCAACCUUUCCCAGACAGGGGAAUAACACACCGAAAGGUGUACUAAUACCGCAUAAGACCACGGGAUCACAUGGUUCUGGGGUAAAAGAUUUAUCGGUUUGGGGUGGGCUCGCGUCCGAUUAGGUAGUUGGUGAGGUAACGGCCCACCAAGCCGACGAUCGGUAGCCGACCUGAGAGGGUGAUCGGCCACAUUGGGACUGAGACACGGCCCAAACUCCUACGGGAGGCAGCAGUGGGGAAUAUUGGGCAAUGGAGGAAACUCUGACCCAGCAACGCCGCGUGGAGGAAGAAGGUUUUCGGAUCGUAAACUCCUGUCCUUGGAGACGAGUAGAAGACGGUAUCCAAGGAGGAAGCCCCGGCUAACUACGUGCCAGCAGCCGCGGUAAUACGUAGGGGGCAAGCGUUGUCCGGAAUAAUUGGGCGUAAAGGGCGCGUAGGCGGCUCGGUAAGUCUGGAGUGAAAGUCCUGCUUUUAAGGUGGGAAUUGCUUUGGAUACUGUCGGGCUUGAGUGCAGGAGAGGUUAGUGGAAUUCCCAGUGUAGCGGUGAAAUGCGUAGAGAUUGGGAGGAACACCAGUGGCGAAGGCGACUAACUGGACUGUAACUGACGCUGAGGCGCGAAAGUGUGGGGAGCAAACAGGAUUAGAUACCCUGGUAGUCCACACUGUAAACGAUGAAUGCUAGGUGUAGGGGGUAUCGACCCCUUCUGUGCCGCAGUCAACACAAUAAGCAUUCCGCCUGGGGAGUACGGCCGCAAGGUUGAAACUCAAAGGAAUUGACGGGGGCCCGCACAAGCAGCGGAGCAUGUGGUUUAAUUCGACGCAACGCGAAAAACCUUACCAAGACUUGACAUCCUACUAAACUCAUGGAAACAUGAGGUGACUUCGGUCGAGUAGAGACAGGUGGUGCAUGGUUGUCGUCAGCUCGUGUCGUGAGAUGUUGGGUUAAGUCCCGCAACGAGCGCAACC
rnacentral:rRNA from 1 species